rnacentral:rRNA from 1 species
CAGCCGCCACGGGAAUACAAAGGGUGCAAGCGUUAAUCGGAAUUACUGGGCGUAAAGCGCGCGUAGGUGGUUUGUUAAGUUGGAUGUGAAAUCCCCGGGCUCAACCUGGGAACUGCAUCCAAAACUGGCAAGCUAGAGUAUGGUAGAGGGUGGUGGAAUUUCCUGUGUAGCGGUGAAAUGCGUAGAUAUAGGAAGGAACACCAGUGGCGAAGGCGACCACCUGGACUGAUACUGACACUGAGGUGCGAAAGCGUGGGGAGCAAACAGGAUUAGAUACCCCGGUAGUCCCUGUCUCUUAUAA